AUCAGAACAAAGCAACAGUAGUAUAAAACCCCUAAGCAAGCUCUUCCACUUCCUCUUUCUUUGAUGAGGUCGAGCAGAAGAGCAAGGAAACCAACGAAUCCACCUUGUAGCAGACACAUCCAGAGAAACAAUCGUCAAGCCCAGAGAGAAAACAGAUUACACUGCAAGAAAACAGAAAACCUUGUGAAAGUAAACUGUCAAGGCAAGAUGUCAUAUCCAUACAAUAUCACUUUCACAUCAUAAUACCUGAUGAAUAAACAAAGUCUACAGAUCUUAUGAAGACCUAGUAUGUACCUAAGCUAAAAGGCAUUGACGAAAC
rnacentral:lncRNA from 1 species